AUGAUCUGGCAACAACCACCAGCCUCCUGGCGUUUUGAACUCGUACAAAGCUGGACGCUUGCUCCCGAGCUUCCCCACUUCCUUCCUUUCCCUGACCUGCCUUUAACAGCUCCAUACCCUUACCACGCUGGUUACUACACUGCUCCAUUCCCUCCCGCAGCAUCCCACACCCACCCCCCCGUGCUGCAGACCCCGAGGCAGCGGGAGGCCGCGCUCCGGACUCAGCCGAGGGUUUUGCGUUUCCCUCAGGUCGAGCCGAGACCCGGCGGCAGGGACGCCCCGCGCCCCGGGGAGCGGCCGCGGCCCCAUCCCCAUCCUUUGCGCGGGGACCCGCUGGAGUCCGGCUCCGGGGCGGCCCCCACCGGGACACGGAGCAGCGAGGCGAGACGCCCAUCGGCCGGCCCUCCCGCCCGAGCGCCGGAAGGGAUUUUGCGCCCUUCCGCCGUGGCGUCACGUGACAUCCCCUUGGUAACGCAAGAUGGCGGCGCCCAUGUUGCUGCCCGAGUCCCCUCUGGGGAAGUUGAGCCAUCAAAAAUACAGAGCUAUUCUGAAGAAAGAAAAGCGGAAAAAAAAGCGCCAGGCACUCGCCAAACUGAGAGAUUCAGAAGCUACAGAAAAAGAUGAAUCAAUGUCUGAGGAGGAAGAAGAAGAACUGGAAGAAGAGGAAGAAGAAGAAGAAGAAGAAGAAAAAAAACUUGAGGCAGAAAGGUAAAAAAUCUAGAAACUAAAAUGUAUGGAGUAGGUAAGUUUCUAGUCAAUUGCAUUAUGAUAAAUUAAAAGGUUGCAACAUACUCUGUAAAACAGAAUUUAUUUUCUGUAUUUUAGGGUAUAUAGGUUUUUUCAAAGUCUUAAUAUUUCCCAUAGAAAUUCCUAUUUUAAGGAAUAUCAGAUAAGCUGCAGUUAAUGCUGAACUACAAAAUUUGAAUUGUAUGGUUUGGUUAUUUGGUUUGUCACAUGAAAGUAUGUGCAACAAUUGCACAGAUUGUGGAUAGUCACCUGCAUCCCUGGAAAGGUGAUGGAGCAGCUCAUCCUGGAGGCCAUCUCCAAGCAUGUGGAGGAAAAGAAGGUGAUCAGGAGUAGUCAGCAUGGCUUCACCAAGGGGAAAUCAUGCCUAACCAAUCUGAUAGCCUUCUCUGAUGGAAUGACUGGCUGGGUAGGUGAGGGG
rnacentral:lncRNA from 1 species